GUGGGGAAUUGUUCGCAAUGGGCGCAAGCCUGACGACGCAACGCCGCGUGGGGGAUGAAGGUCUUCGGAUUGUAAACCCCUGUUGAUCGGGACGAACACCCCCCGGGUGAAUACCUCGGGGGGCUGACGGUACCGGUUGAGGAAGCCCCGGCUAACUCUGUGCCAGCAGCCGCGGUAAUACAGAGGGGGCGAGCGUUGUUCGGAAUUACUGGGCGUAAAGGGCGCGUAGGCGGCCAACCAAGUCAGACGUGAAAUCCCCAGGCUCAACCUGGGAACUGCGUCUGAGACUGGAUGGCUUGAGUCCGGGAGAGGGAAGUGGAAUUCCAGGUGUAGCGGUGAAAUGCGUAGAUAUCUGGAGGAACACCGGUGGCGAAGGCGGCUUCCUGGACCGGCACUGACGCUGAGGCGCGAAAGCCAGGGGAGCAAACGGGAUUAGAAACCCUAGUAGUCC
rnacentral:rRNA from 1 species